rnacentral:rRNA from 1 species
UACGGAGGGUCCAAGCGUUAUCCGGAUUUAUUGGGUUUAAAGGGUGCGUAGGCGGAAUAUUAAGUCCGUGGUGAAAUCCUACAGCUUAACUGUAGAACUGCCAUGGAUACUGAUUUUCUUGAAUAUAGCUGAAGUGGGCGGAAUGUGUCAUGUAGCGGUGAAAUGCAUAGAUAUGACACAGAACACCAAUUGCGAAGGCAGCUCACUAAACUAUUAUUGACGCUGAGGCACGAAAGCGUGGGGAGCGAACAGG